AGCGGUGUGGCCGAGGGCGGACGACGCGGCCCGGAGCGCGGACCUGAGAGCAGCGCUGGGUAACGGCCGCGGCCACCGUCCUGAAGGUGCCCAUGCUCCCGGCAGGCUUCCGCGUAGUCGCUCGCUGCGCGGCCGGAUGAGUGCGGCGGGUGCUGGACGCCAGGGCCGGGGGCAGAGGGCCCGCCGUGUUGAUGUUAUUGUUUGGCCGCCGCCGCCUUCUUCUCGGCCGUGACCCCUCCGGGUGGGGGCGGCGGGCCAGCGGGCCAGUGGGCGGGCGGGGGCGCAGGAACAAUAGCUGCCUGGGCGGGGGACGUAGGACCCCGGCUGCCGCCCCAGCGCCGCUCCCGCCCCAUUCAGGUCCCGCAUCCACGUCGCGAGUAGAAAAUGGAGCUGGCGGGUGGCAAGUUGGGAACACUUGGGCGAAGGUCGGGACCGCGCUCGCGUCGUCGGGUCCCCACGCCCGCCCGGCGCCCGCGGGGUCCUCGUCUAGCUCGCGGAAGCUCCUUUGUGUGGACGCGGGCGUCUACAACGCGAGGAGGAUGCGGUGCUCCGGCCUGGGCUGCGGGGACCGGACCCGGGUGCGGGGUGCGUGUCCCGCUCGCCGGGCUGCGGGGGCCGGCGCGCCUUUCUAGACUGGAAGUUACUGGGCCGCGACCUUUUGACUCUUUCAGCUCCCUGGGCUGUCUCUUUGUCUUGCAUUUGGGUUCCCCAUCCAGAAGUGGCAGAACCAAGACCAUUUCAAAGUACAGUUCUCUUUUCAUUUUCGAAAGUUCCCCAUCUUUACUGUAAAUUUAGUAAUCCGUUGACUACACAGCAUCGGACAGUCUCCAAUGGUUACUAUUUUUACCUCUGAAAUUCAGUGAUGUUCCCAGAAGAAUUCUGGCCUGUCAGCCCAUUGUUUUGAGAUAAACAUCCAGUGUAUACCUCCUUGGCAAUGAGAACAUCUGCUUAUUUCAUUCAUUCAUUCGGCAGCUGUUCAGUACUGUGUCCAAUCAGAGAAGUUUGAAGGUAAAGAGAAAUAUCCCUAAAUGGAAGAGGAUACUUUAACUGAAAUGUAAUAGAUGUGCCUUUAAAUAAGAUGAUUAUAUAAGGUGGGUGUCAGAGAAGGUAGAGUUAUAUACUCUGGCUCAUUUUACUGUUUUUUAGCAGUGUGUCUCGGAACUUCAGGAGCAAUUUUAUAUUAGUAAGUAGAGUUGGAUUUGGCCUAAAUGUACAGCAGCUUUUAUUUCCAAAUGUAUUUGUUCUGGUCUGGCAGUUACCUGUAUAGUUACUCAUAUUCCCCUGCUGGGCUUACCCUUAACCUUGGGAGGUCAGACGCUCUGAGUGAACAAGCUCUUGGAGGCACAAAAUAAGCAGUUGAGUUGGGAUUUCUUGAGGGCAGGCCUAGCUUGCAGCUCUGUUCCAGCCUGGAGUAUAGUAAGUGUUCAGAAGAAGGUGGAUUGAGGAAAAGCUCUUUAUAAUUGUGAAUACUUAAAAUUGAGCAUUUACAGAAAACUUAAUAUUCUCCUUGGAGUUUGGAUGCUUCAUGUAGACUGUCACUUCCAGAUGGCUGACUAAUCGGUUCGUAUAGUACAUUAUCUGUUGUGACAACAGGGCUUUUGAAUCACUUCAGUGUCAGUUUUCGUCCUGGCAUUUCUAGGCUAUUCCAAAGCAAAACCUUGUCUAAAUGUUUUUAGUAUGAUUAAUAAAGGAAUGUAUGUUAUGAGACGUGUGUUUUUAUGUGUAAUCAGUUGAGUAUCCUCAUGGUGAGAAUUCCAACUGCUCCAAAAUCUGAAUCACUUCUGGUCCUAAGCAUUUAGAAAAGUGAUACUCAACCUGUGUGUAUAUGUGCACGUACAGACUUGUAUGGUGGUACUGUAUAUCGUAUGACUGUUUUUAUUUUGUGAAUAUUAUUUGAAAGGUUUUUGAUGACUCCUUUGUUUUAACUAGUAAAGUAAAACAAAAGAAACAACCUGCAUAAAUGUUUUAUUAAAAACACUUAAUUUCUAAUUACAUUUUAGAAAUGCUUACUAGAAACGUUGUCAUGCGCUGUUACUGUUGGUAAAGUAUAUGGGCCUGAAAUUCAGUAAUACCUGUUUAUUCAAGUUGUAGCACUUUUCCAAUUCACUAUUUAGUAUGUGUUAGCAUUUGUUUUGGAUAUGAAGGAAUUUAAAGUGAACUUAUUUGAUCUAAGUAGAAAUGAAGAAAUAAAAUUAAUAUCCUUUUAACGUAAGUGUUAAAAAUCUUCAGACACCAAACUUUAAUUGCUUUACCUAGUUAAGGUAUGUUAGAUUUCAGUAAGGAUUACUGAUUUAAAAAAAACAAAACACCUUUUUGUGUAAGCUCACAGUUUAUGUUCAGAACCAGAGUUAAUGUUCUGUUUACUACAUAUUGUUGGUUUUUGAAAAUAACAGCUUUAUUGAGAUUUAUGUAUCAUUAAAUUCACCCUUGUGUUGUGUACAUUUCCUUGGUUUUAAAUAUUUUCAGAGUUGUACAUUGAUUACCACUGUCUAGUUCCAGAAUCUUGUCAUCACCCCAAGAAGAAACCCCAUGCCCAUUAGCAGUCACUCCACAUUCUAUUCUAAAUUAUGUUUUAAAGGAAAAGAGAAGAGUCUGUUAGGAAAUAUAUUUCUUGAAUGCGUUUGAAAAGGUCUCCCUUUAAGUAUCCUGGCACAAUGGAAAACUAUAUCUUUCAUAUUCCUUUAGGUCCUGAGGGAAAGGCCACUUGGAAAUUACUAUAAGGAUAAAUUGUAUUAAAAUUGAGGUUCAAAUUUUAACUAUUUGCUCUAUGCCUAAUAUGAAGAUUACCUUAAGAUACUGGUGCUCAGUGAAAUAAUUUACUUUGUUGUUAAAUAACUAGUCCAUAACUAUCCUAGUGGUAUUUAAGAGAUUGUUGAAUAGGAGCCUACUUCUAGUUGGUUGUUUUGGCAGUGAGUUGAGUUUUGACAUUUGAAUCAUCUACAUGAUUGAGAUGCUUUGUUGCACCUGUGGAAGCUCUCUUAAGUCUCUGGUCAAGACAGUGGUAUUGGGUAGUGGCCUUUCUGAUUCAUGUAGUGUAAGGAAGUCAUUAUAAGCAAAUAGCUUUAGAUGUGACUCAUUUGCCUGUUUCGUUGAACUGUGGUUAUUGUCUUAAUCAUGAGCUCUUUACCUGAAUGUUUUGGAAGCUUUACAUUCUUGCUCCAAUGCAAGUUACUUUUAACUUUGAUUUAAAAACUGAAUUCUGAUUCAAGAGAAUCUAUUAUCUAAAAGGUGACAUGAGUAUUGAAAUAAGAGUCAUUCUAUCAUUUAAGGCUAUAGUGGAACUAAAGCAGUCCAGGUAUCAGUCCUGGGUUCACUUUGGACUUUUAUCAUCAACAAGCUCUGGAGCCUUAGGCAAGUUGUUUAACCACUCUGAUUUUAGAACUGUAAAGAGAGGCUGUCAGAGCUCCUUGUUUUAUAGAAGACUGUUUAUAAAGAGACCAUGUAGGGUGAUUAUCAUGAGCUCCAGUCAUUGACAGCAGUCAAAGAGCUGCUCAGUGGUAAAAUGUCUGCCUAACAUGUUCAAGCCCCUGGGCAGGAUCCCCUGCACUGCAGUGGGAUAGGGGUGGGGAUGACAAUCAAAAUUACCUUGUAUUUUCAGAAGCACAGAAAAUUGUUACUCUUUUUCUCUAAUAUCUCUGGACUUAUAAAACAAAAGCUUCACUAAUAAGCUAGAGGUUCUGUGAAUGGUAGAUUUUGAUCAUUAGGCACCGCGUCUUCUGAGACUCAGUGACAUUUUUUCAGAGACUGUGGAAAAUGUGAAAGUGAAGAGUUCAUUAGCCUCAAGCUUAUGAUCAAGGAUGCAACUUAAGGCAUAUCUAAACAUUAUUAUUGUCUUUUAAAAGAUGUGUAAGGGGGCUUCUCCCAAACAAAAAGCCCACUGUAAAUCUCUGAGCAGGCCAAAUUUCACUGAAAUGUGUUUUUUAAAAUUGUGUAUGCGUAAGGCCUUUCAGAGAAUUUAUUACCUGCCAUUAUUUUUCAAAGUAGCGUGUAAUAUUACAGAUAUAACUGGUAUUUGUGUUUCCUAUUUCCCUUUAGUAAGUAUUACAUCAGACUUGAUUAAAAUCUGCCAUUCUUUAGAAAGCUAGGGAACUCAAACCUACAGGUGCCUAGGAUGGGCUUUAGGGCUAGCCCUGAGCUCUAGUCCAUGCUCCACAUCUGAUUAUGAAACAUAAGCUUGUUCAGGUUAUAAAAUGUAUUUGACUUAUCUGUCAAAUGAGAUUGGUAAUAGCACAUCACCUUAUAAAGCUGUGAGGGUUAAACAAGGUACUGCAUGUGGAGUGCCUGGGACUGAUGUGCCUGGAUGGUAGAUGGAAGUAUUCAGGACAUUUUAGUUAUUGUUUUUGCAUAUUUUUAACUUGGAACAAAAUGCCCGGUAAAUUUAAAAUAAUUUUAAUAUGCAGUUUAUAUUCCAAUUCUUCAGAACACACCAGUUGUUUCCUUUACAUUUCUGGCAGGGGUCAGGGAGUUAUUAAAAUUUGAUCAUCUCAUCUAAUCUGAAUUGACUGAGGUUAUUUAUGUUAACAUUUGAACCCAGGAAUCCUCUCUGCCUUAAAAUUUGAAACUAUUUCAAAAACAUCCGUUGAAAGGAUGGUAUUUGCCACAUUCUCUGAUACAGCUUUAUUUCACCUUUUUUUUUUUUUACCCUUUCCCCCAGCAGAGAAUUGCCUAAGCAUUCCUAGGUUUGUUUUAAUAUCUAAAGGAAUGGGAAUUUAGGAGCUGAGAAUAGCUUUAUUAUGUAACCCAUUUGAAGAAAAUGGAAUGCUAUCAUAUCUUCUUCUCUUUUUUUUUCCUUUACUUUAUUUUUAUUUUUUGGUAAUGAGGAUUGAACCCAGGGCCUUGUGCUUGCUAGAUAGGGACUGUACCACUGAGUUACACCUUCGCCCGAUCGUAUCUUUUAAUUUUAAUUUUAUUGGGAUUUUGUCAUGGAACUGCCUUGUAGCCAUUAACAGUUCAUUAAGCAUUUUUUAGAAUUUCUAAGUUUUUGGUUAGUUUCUGUGGUACAUUUCUUGAUCCUUCUUGAGGAUAGGAACUAUGACAUGAUGACACUGAUUUUCAAAAUGUGCUGUAUAUUGAGAAACCACUCUGCCACUCCAGUUAGUGACAUGGGAAACUGACUUCUACACUGAAAUCUAAGUCAAUCUGUACCUUCAGUGAUCUGCUUAUAACUUUGAUAGGAAAUAAGGACAAAUGUAAAUGCACGAUUUCUAACAAGGAAGCAAAUAUUGUUAGUCAUUUCACUAGGAAUUUCUUUUGUCAUUGGGACAUUUGGGGAUUUCCAAAUCUUAGCAUCUCUUGCCUGGCUUUUAAAAAUAACACUUUGAUAGACUGCAGAAAGCAAGAUGUCUUUUCUAAACUUUGGUUGUCAUUGAGAGUGUAGCACAGAGGAGGCAGAGUAAAAGUAUGAGAAGUAAAUUAUAGCUACUCAGAUACCAAUUGGAGUCCUCAAACUUGUAUGUUGACUCUGAAAACUUAAGACUGGAUUUUUGCUGGGAGCACUUUCUUAUGUUUAAUCUUUGUCUAGUAAUGAGAAAUACAGGCUUCACUAGUUCACAUCUCCUGCUGAGAUGCCCCAGACUGUCACCCCCUCAUAUUUCUGAGGACACUGGACAAAAAACCAGCCACACACACCCCUGCUUUGGUUGGCAGGAGGCAUCAAAAAUAUUGGGAAAUUGCUAUUUGCUAAAAUUUUUUGAUGGGAUAGAAAGUCACCAUUCUCAGACUUGCUCCAGAGAGGGUGGCUCAUGACUCAGAUGCUACUUGGGUCAACCAAAGUUGAAAUGAAGGAAAGCUACUGCUAGAUCUCCUGGUGACUUGAGAGAGCAUCACUUUUUCAGUCACCAAACAAAACCCAAAGUACCUAGUAUUGUCCCAUCUACUACUGAGAAUUAAAAGAUUUAUUUACAUUUUAUUUUCAUUUUGACUAAGUACUGUAUUCACUUUGAUUCAGAGUUCCAAAGAUUGAAAAAGAGAUAAAGAAUCUCCUUUUCAUUCUGUACAGCCACCAGUUCCUCCACCAGGAAACAGUGUUUAGUGGGACUCCUUCCAGAGAUAGGUUAUAUUUGCAAAAGUAAUGCAGCUGUAUAAAUCUUUGUCCAAAACCCUUGAUCUAGAUGUAUUUCAGAAUAUUUUUUUUUGCAAUUGUAGCAAGAUAGUAUAGUGUAUCUACCAUAUUAACCAAAAUCCUUAAUGGGAAAUGGUAAUCAAAAACAAUGAUUCCCUAUUGAAAAUAUAAAUAGUACAUCAAGUGGGAUGGAUAGAGCUUAUAAAGCCCUUUUUGCCAGUUCCUGUCAAAUUUGGCUGCCAAAUAUGUUUGUACUAAACUUUUUUAAAAAACAUCUUCUAUUUUGAAUAGAUUUUGGUCUUGCCAGUCAGUAACUAUUCCUCACAUAUGUAGUGUGUAUUCUCUUCCCCCUUCCCCAAUCCAAGUUGUUGGAUACAAUGUACACUGCCCAUUGCCUUUAUUCUCAAUAUAGUUUAGAGAUUAUUUUCUGUUAUGUACUGUAAAAAGCAUGUUUCCUUCUCCCUCCACUUCUCUCUUUUUAAACCUCCUGGUAUUCUGUUUGUCAAUCAGUUUGGGCUGAUAUAACACAAUAUCAUGAAAUAGGUGGCUUAAACAAAAGAAAUGUCUUUCUCACACAAUUCAAGAAGCUGGGAAGCUCAAGACCAGGAUACUAAGCAGCUUGGUUACCUGGUGAGAGCCUCCUCUUCACUUGACCAGCUCAGUUCCCUAGUAGACCCCUGCCUUCUACCUGCAUCCUCAUGUGGUCACAGAGAGCUCUGGUGUCUUUGGACACUACUUUCAUUGUGGUCCCCACCUUUAUGAUCUCCUGGAAACCUUGUUACUUCCCACAGCCCACACCUCUGAAUACCAUCACAUUGGAUAUUAGGGCUUCAACAUAUGCAUGGGAGGGGCCACACAAAUGUUCAGUUCUUAGCACCAUUACACAAAUGUACCAUUUAAUUAAUCAGCUCCUUUUUAUGUACAUUUAGGUUGGUUUGAGUCUUGCUAUCAAAAGCUGUAGUGUAGUGGAUUACCUUGUGUAUGCAUCAUUUUAUGCUUACAUAGAAAUGUACAGGAUAAAUUUCUAGAGGUGUAAUUAUCAGGGCAGAGCAUAUGUGCAUUUGUAGUUUCGCCUUAUAUUGCUUAAGUGCAGCCUUUAGAGGUUGUCCAGGUUAUAUUCUCCCAGCACUAAGGACACUGCUUCUUUCCUGUUCACCAUUAUGAAUGAGAUAGAUAGAACAUUUUUCAAGAGUUAAUUGUAUUUUCUUUUUUUGUGAACUGUUGCUAUCCUUGCAUAUUUUUCUGUUGCUCAUUUUCUUAAAUUGUAUUUAUUUUUACAUGACAGAAAUUAAUUCCAUGCUAUUUCUGGAGAUUUUUUUUAAACCUAAUUUGCUGUUUGCCUUUCCUACCCCAAGAUGGUAUGAAUGAACCAAGUGUUAUUUAUUUAUUUAUUUAUAACAGGUGACUGUUGAGUUAUGUUCACGUUAUUUAAUAAACAAUCCAUGUUGGUCUUUUUAAAAAUACCACCUUUAUCAGUUACUGAAUUUUCAUGUGUAUUGUACCAUUUCUGUUCCAUUGACUCAUCUGUCUGUUUAGGAACCAAGCCACCCUGUUUUAAUUUUUUUUUUUUUUUGAGAUUUGAAGGAUUAUUUAACAUUAGCAUUUUAUAGAAUAUAAACUCAUUUCAAGAGCUGAGGAAGAGAUAGUGUUUUCAGCAAAUGGCACUAGAACACCUGGUAUCCGUCUAUAAAAAAUUAACCUCAACCGUUUUUUUUCCUUACAUGAAAAUAACUUGAAAGGAUCUAUGAACCUAAAUAUGAAAGCCUAAAAGUAUAAAACUUUAAGAAGAAAUUAUAAGGGAAAAUGUUUAUGAAUUCAGGGUAGGCAAGAACUACCUAGUAUACAAAAAACAUGAUGUAUAAAAGAAAAAAAUUGAUAAAUGAGAUUCCAUCAAAAUUUAGAACUUUAAAUGACAUCGUUAAAAUGAAAAGUAGUCCUUAAACAGACCAUAUUUACAAUGCAUAUAACCUAUGACCAGAAUAUAUAAAGAAUUCUUAGAGCUCAUUAAUAGACAACCUCAUUAAAAUGUAGACAUAAGAAGAUGAUAAAUAGCCAGUAUAGCACAAGGAAUAGUGUGCAACUCUAGAAUCAGAAAAAUACUAAUCAGUACAAUAAUAAGAUUGAAUUAUACACUCAUUAGGGAGAUGAAGUCAAAAGUUGUAAAAGCCUUGUCAUGACUUUUUCUUUUUUGUUGGAUUCUCCCCCUUUGCGUUUAAUUUGUCACGCCCAAUGGAUUCAUUCUGCUGGGUUUCCUGGGGUUGUGGUCCUCAUUGUCUUUUCCUAGGGUAUUGUCUAAAAUUUUUUGGAGUGCCAGUUUGAUAUUCAUGAAGUUCCUGAGGUGCUCUUUAUCAUGAAAGUAUCUUAUUUCUCCAUCAAUUUUGAAAGAUAGUUUUGCAGGGUACAUCAAUCUGGGUUGGAGGCUGUUUUCCUUUAGGGCUUGAAAUACAUCACUCCAAGCUCUUCUUGCCUUGAGGGUUUGCAUUGAGAAGUCUGCUGUGAUUCUUCUGGGCUUUCCUUUGUAUGUGAUUUGUUUCUUUUCUCUCACUGCUUGUAGAAUUUUGUUCUUCUGUUGGAUUUCUGGAAUCCUAACUAUUAUAUGCCUGUGUGUAGAUUUUUUUUUUGAUCAAGGCUAUUGGGAGUCCUAUAUGCCUCACUUAUCUGUAUGUCAAGAUCUUUUCCCCUCCUUGGGAAGUUUUCUGCCAUCACUUCUGUGAACAGUUUUUUAUGUCAUCUGCACUCUCUCCUCUUUCCUCAUUGACUCCAGUCAGCCUUAUGUUAUUCUUCUUUGCAUCAUCUAGCAGCUGCUGGAUUGAUUUCUCGUGUUCCUUUACAAUUUUAAAGCAAUUUUUCUUUUCCUGGUCACUAAUUACAAUCUUUUCAUCUAUAUCUGAAAUUCUAUCCUCACAUUGGUUCAUUCUGCUGUGAAGACUUUCGAUGGAGUUUUUAAUCUCCUAGAAAUCUGUUUGUAUCUGUUUUAUGGAUUCCAUUUGUUUCCUAUGUUGGGAUCCCAUCAUGUUCCUCAGAUCCUCUAUUUUUUUUAUCUGUGUCCUCUCUAGAUUUAUUAAUCAUGUCCUGCACCAUGAGCAAAAUCUUUGCUGUUAUCUGAGUAAUUAUUUCUGAUUUCAUUUUUUCCAGAUCCUCUUUUGUUGCCAGUUCAGAGAGUCCAGGUGGUUGAGUAUCAGAUUAUUCCACCUGGUUUCCCUUUGGGGUUGCUUUAGGUGAUCCAGAAGUCUGUUUUUGAGGCUUGUUUAUGUGUCUUCUCAUUUCCACGGGGGGGUGGGGGGGUGCUUCUGGUGGCUGUGUGGCUCACCUUCUCUGCCCUAGGAGCUUGGGAUGGCAGCAGGGGAGGUUCCUUCCCAGUGCUGGGACCCGCUUAGCUUCUCUGCCCUCUGAUUCGGUGUUUUCAGCAUGACUGGCGACCUCGGGACUGCGUCCACAGACCUACCUGUCUGCAGCGUGCUGAUUCGGUGUUUUCUGUGUGACUGGCCCUGUUUUAAUUAUAACACUUAUACUGUGCUUUCUGUUAGGACUAAUUCCCUUUGAUUUCUUUUACAGAUUUUUUUUUCCGUGUUUGUUUUGUAUGAACUUUUUGAAUCAGCCUGUCUAGUCCAUUCACCUCCUCUGCCAAUCUUUUUGUCAUUUCUGUUGAGAUCACUUGAUUUUUUCCAUUAUCAAAGUCAAAUUUACUUACAGUACACUGCACAAACAUUAUACUUGAACAACCUAGCAGAAGUUGGCAUAUAUAUAAAUACACUGGUGUAACUUUCAGGUCAAGAUACAGAACAUUUCCAUUACUGAGUUUCCCCAUAUCCUUUCAAGUUGGUAGUUUCUUCACUUGUCCCUGACUGUGUUUGACUUCAAUUAAUAGAUUCAGUUUGACAUUAGAACUUUUUAAUAUGAGAAUUUACAGGUUUAUGAUAUUGUGGAAAUCUUAACCUUUAUGUUUGUUGGAGUUUUUUGGGAGAGUCCCUAAGCAUUUUAAAGUUUUUUUCCUAUCAGUUUUCUAUGUUUAAAUUUUUUGUGUCACUCAUUUUUCUUGCUGUUGAAAAUAGCAUCUUUUUCAUUUUCUUAUUCUCUGUAUAUAAGAAAGCUGUUUAUUUUGUGUAUAGGUAAUAUUUUCUAUAUUAAAUUAUAAGCCCCCUUUUUAUUUUUUAGGUAUAAAUCAUGCUGACUUUUUUGUUUCCUUUGAAUUUUUACCUCCUCUCCCCAACUUUUAUACCCCUAUUUUUUCUUUUAGAUAUUGAUAGCAGUUAUUUAAGAAGUUUGCAGUUUUCUUUCAUAAUAUGUAAAACAAGAACUACAAUAUCUUAUCUAUAUAUUUAAGUAAGACAUGAGUAAUAAUGAAAUUGGGGUGAGAUUAUUGUUAUUAGAGAUUAAAAAUUGGGCAGGUAUAAGUAUUAGAGUAGUAUGAAAUUGUCUCUAAAGCUAAUGUAAAUAUAUUUUAAAUAAAUUCUUUUAAAUGGACAAGUUGGUGAUCAUUUGAUAUGGAAUGCAGAAUUACUAAUUCUUAAUUUUCUUGGGUCUUACUUGACACAUUUGGACUGCUUUCUGUAGCAGCAGAACCUAGAGACAGUUUCCAGAAAUGUAGCUUAAUUUGCUGCCAGGGAACAUACAGCCAAGUUAGAGGUCAAGAUCUGGAGCAGUGAGAAUUAAGUGUGUGAAAAAGAAGGUGUUAAUGCUUAGAAAAUGGUUUUUACAAGGCCAGGGAUUUAGCGCAGUGGUUCCGCUGCCUGCCUUGCAAGUGCAGGGUCCUGAGUUCGAUCCCCAGUACCAAAAAAAGAAAAAAGAAAAUGGUCUUGACAAAAAUAAGCAGGUCAGAAAGACAUGGAGAUGGAGGAGGGGAAGGGAGUGUGCCUUGGCCCUAGGUUUGCAGUAACUUAUCUUUAUGAAAUUAUGUGGUACUUGGUUGAAGAUACCUAGCUGUAAUUCAGUAGUGAUCUCACUUAUUAAUGGAGAGUACAUAGUUUAUUUUGUCUUUCCUCUUUCGAACCCUGCCCCCUAAAAAAAGCUGAAGCAGUUUACUAUUCAAGGACCCAUACAUUGUUGAGUAAGGUAGAAACAAAAAAUUAGAAUCCAGGGAAAACAGGAAUCUAGAAUAUCCUAAUAACAUAAUAAAUAUUCAGUGUUUAAUCAUACUCCAAGCACUGUUCUGAUGUUUUACAUGUGGUGUUUAAAUGCUCCAUGAUGAUCCUAGGAACCAUUAUUCCCAUUUUAUAGAUGAGGAAACAGGCACAAACAAAUUAUGUAAGAAGUUGUUGGUGAUCUUGAUGAACAGGUUUAUUAGAGUGGGAAGAAAGCCAAAUUGAAGUUGGUUAAAAAGCAGUGAAUGCGAUUUUUUUUUUUUUGGUCCUGGGAAUCAAACUCAGGACCUUGCACUUUCCAGGCAGGUGCGGUGCCACUAAGCUAAAUCCCCAGCCCCCUAAUGCAUUUUUUUUUAAAAGAGAAAGGAGCAAGUGCAGAUUGAUGGAUGUAGACAGUUUUUUCAAGAUAAUUUUGAAGUGGAUGGGUAAAGGAAAACAUGGGGUCCAAACAGUGAGAAAAGGAGAAUGUCCAGGAAAGACAUUACAGGGAAGAGACAGUUUGGCUCCUGUCUCUAAGACACAGUUUGAAGAGAAAUCCUUCCAGGGAAGUUUGGUGAUUAGAAAAUGGAAGUUUAGACUACUGCCUUUCAUCCCUUGUGGCUUCUGUUUUCUCAAUGAUACAGGAGAUUCACAUGCACAGAAAGGGAUGGGAGUAUGGGGAGUUUGAAGCAGUUUGCCAAGAGGUAUUGAUUGUUCACUUAAGGCAUGAAAUCUUGAAUUUAAAGUGGUAUCAGUCUGCAUUUGUGAUUGUUUCCAGCAUUAACUGAUUAGAUAUGAGUACAGAUAAGGCAGACAGUUGGAUUUAUCCAGAGUGAGGUUUGCCAGGGGUAUCAGUCAUCAUGGGCCAGAGAAACAGCCAGUAGGAGAUGUAGAUGGAUGGAUAGACUACCUGAGAUUUCAAGGAAUUGUGAGGAUUGCAAGUCUGAAAUCUGUGGAGCAGAUCGGCAGGAAACUCUUGGACCAAGCUAAUGCUGUGGUCUUGAGGCAGGAUAUUAUCUUCCUAUUGGAAACCUGUUUUCACUUUAAAGACUUUCAACUUCUUAAAUGAGGCCUGACCAUAUUAUCAUUAUCAAGGAUAAUCUUCUUUCUGUACUUAAAAUCAGCUCAUUAUAGAUAUUAACCACAUCUACAAAACAUCUUCAUAGGAUUACCUGGAUUUGUGUUCAAUAUAAUGACUGCAUACUGCAGUGUAGCCAAGUUGACACACAAAGCUAAACAUCACAUUAAGUCAGUUAAGAGAAGGAAAAGUGGACAAGGGAAAAAGAGAGCUUAAAGGGAAUGCUUAGAGAAGUAAUGCUGAAUUAUAACACCUAACAUUGGGCAGUAAAGGAGAUGAGGUGAGAAUGUUUAGUAUGAAUAUGGUAGCACCAAGGUAAUGGAGUUUUCAUUUAAAAUUACUGUAGGGGGCUGGAGGGUAAGUAAGUGAACCUGCAGGAUUGGAUGUCAUGAUCAAAAGGGGAUGCCUGAAAGAAAGGUUUCACAAGGGUAAUAGUUCCUGUCAUUGAUAAAACCCAGGAUGCUUUUGGGUGUGGACUGCUAAGGUGGAAAUGAAGGACAAAUCUGUGCAUGUGAGGAAGCCAAGGGAUUAGAGUGGGGUUAGGAUGUAGCUCAGGGUAGAUUACUUGCCUAACAUGAGUGAUGCCCUGUGUUUGAUCCCCUGGCACCCCACUUCCACCCCCCAAACACACAGAAGGAGGAAGGAAGGGAAGGAGACUAAUUAAAAGGGUCCAUCUACAUGAAAGAUGAAGUCAGAAAAUGGUGAUAAGAGUUAAGGAUGUAUUCAGUGAACCACUUGCUAAUGUCCUUGAAGAAUGAGGGACAAUUGAAGGAAGGAUAGAUGGCAAUAAGAAAACAUAAAUACAGUAUAAAUGGUUGUUUGCUUUUUAAAAAGUAGCAAUUUCAAAAGGCCAACUGAAGCAGUUAGGGAUGAGGAAUUGGGUAAAAUGGAGGGUGAAUAGAGCGUUACAGGAAUGGCAGUUAAGGGAGAGUUGAACUUUUUCCUAUAAUUGAAGUAAGCAGAAUUGAAGUGUAGUGGGAUUAGCCUCCAUGAUAGAUGAGAAUGGUUUUUGGUUCUAGUGUUAUUGGACUCUUCAAAUGAAAUUAAAUAGAAAAUCAGAGUGUAUCACAAGUAAUAAGGAACUAAGAAUUUUUUAAACAGUUUUGUUAUAAUUCGUAUACCAUUAGAGUUCACCCAUUUGAAGUAUACAAUUCAAGGGCUUUUCAGUACUGAACAUUCAUGUAGCCAUCACCACAGUUCAGCUUUAGAACAUAUUUGUCAACCCCCAGAAAUGCACCUCAUGCUCAUUAUCAGUCACUCUCCCCUUCCCCCACCUCAUUCCAAAGCAGCCACUUAAUCUUCUCUUCACCAUAGAGUUGCCUAUUUUGGAUAGUUUGUUAUAUAGUAUGUUAUCAUUUGUGACUGGCUUAUUGCACUUACUGUAAGCUUUUUGAGAUUCAUUCAUCAUGUAGUAUGUAUCAGUAGUCUGUUCCUUUUUAUUGCCUAAUAUUCCAUUAUUCAGGUAUUCCACACUUUAUUUAUCUACUGUUCAGUUGAUGGUCAUUUGGAUUGUUUCCACUUUUUGGGUAAAGUUAAUACUGUCAUAAACAUUCAUGCAUAAGUUUUUAUGUGUUGUAUUUUUUUUUUAACUUGGUUAUAUACUCAGGAGUGAAAUUACUGGGUCAUAUGGAUGACUCAAUGUUUAACAUUUUGAGGAACUACCAAGCUAUUUCUCAAAACUGGUGGUACCAUUUGACAUAACUGCCAGCAAGGUGCAAAGGUUCAAAUUUCUCUGCAUCCUACUCAAGCUUGUUAUUGUCUGUCUUGAAUAGUAUUGAUUUGCAUUUCCCCAAUAGGUAGUGAUGUUGAGUAUCUUCUCAUGUGUGCAUUGGCCAUUUGUAUAUCUUCCUGGGAGAAAUAUUUAUUCAGAUCCUUUGCCUAUGUAAAAAAAUUGUUAGUUUUACAUACAAAUACUUAGACAGAUCUGUGAUUGUAAGUAUUUUCUCUUGUUUUGGGGGUUGUCUUUUUACUUUCUUGAUGGCAUUGUUUAUAGCACAAAAGAUUUUAAUUUUAAUGAAAUCAAAUGUCUGUGUUUUUAAUCUAUUAAUCUAUUUUAUCUAUCUUUGAUGGUUCUUUUGGUAUCUUAUGUAAGAAACCAUUGUCCAGCUCAAAAGUCAUGACAAUUAGCCCUGUGUUUUCUUGCAAAUUUGUUUGAAUUCCUUUGUGUGUGUGUGAAUGUGAUAAAGGGGUCAAACUUCAUUCUUUUGCAUGUGGAUAUGCAGUUGUCCUAGCACCAUUUAUUGAAAAGUACCACUCUUAAUGGUCUUGGCAUUCUUAUUUGUUUUAAUGUUUAUUUCUAUUGACUCUUGGUUCUAUUUUUAUGUUAGCCUCAUUGCAUUGAGUACUGGACCUCAGAAGUUUUUUUUUUUUGGAAAUUGUUUCAAUUAAGUAUGAGUGUAUUUAGAGAUAGAUACACACAGAGGUGUGUAUAUGUAAUAAAUUGUAAAAUCUUGGAAAACUGACUUGAGAUAUGGUAGCCCCCUGAAACAGUUCAUUCUCUUAGCAGUGUAAUGGGAUGUCUUCCUCACAGGGAACCAAUAGAUAAGGCAGUUAAAAGGGCCUGCCUAUGGGUAUAUGAAUUCCUUUUGGAUUAGAUGACUGAUUUUUCUUACUUUAGUAGAUAAAAUUUUUUUCAGGUACAUGUGGACUAAAGAAGGGCUUAGAAACAGCUGUGAGAACUCCUGAACCAGCAAUAAGAGAGGAAUUUAUGUAAGCAUUGUGGAAUGUUGUAUAAUUUGAAGUUAGUGUUUUACACUGGGCCAGUCUUUUGUGAUUGUCUUUUAAAACCACACACACACAAAUUUUGUUUGAUGUAUUAAGCAUGUCUGUAUGAAAUGCCUUUAUUAUCUGGAUCCUCUAUAAGGUCUGAUUCUGUAGGUGCUUGUGUCCUGGUCUUGUGACGUGGAUGUUUUUUAUUAUGGCAUUAUAUAUGAAAAGUAUAUGGAGGUGUCAUUUAAUGUUUGAGAGCAUCUCCUUUUAGAGAGAAUUUUUGUUUACUUUUGGCAGAAAGCUAGCUAGUGGUACCAACAGUCCUGAAUCAUCGUAAUCCAGUCAGAGAGUAAGAUAUUUUAAAAUGAGGCUCUGGAAGUCUGUAAAGGCUGGCCUAUUUUGUGUUUUAUCCCUCCUAGAAUAUGACCCUUUGGAGUUCCAACAUAAAGCCAGGGGUAUUAGCCCAUUUCCCCACUCCCACACUUUCUUGGGGUCUUAAUGGCAGUAGUCAAUCUUCCCUACCCUUGUAAAUCUGUUGAAAGUUCAUCUCAUGCAGAUGAAAACAACACUGAGAUUCCACCUCACCCCAGAAAGAAUGGCUGCUAUAAAGAAAUCGACAAAUAACAAAUGCUGGCGGGUUGUGGGGAGAAAGGAACCCUUCUCCAUUGUUGGUGGGAGUGCAGACUGGUGCAACCACUGUGGAAGUCAGUGUGGAGAUACCUCAAAGAACUAGGACUAGAGGUCCCAUUUGACCCAGCUAUUCCCCUGCUGGGUAUCUUCCCAAAAGAAUGAAAAGAAUCAUACUACAACGAUAUAUGUGCAUCCAUGUUCAUAGCAGCACAGUUUGUAGUAGCUAAAGCUUGGAAGCAACCCAAGUGCCCAUCAACUGGAAACUGGAUAAAGAAAAUGUGGUUUUUUUAAUAAAAUGGAGUACUACUCAGCCUUAAAGAACGAAAAACUAGAGUCAUCUAUAGCUAAAUGGAUGUAUAUUGAGGCCAUACUCUUAAGUGAAAUAAAUAGGACACACGUGUAAAUACCGAAUAGUUUCACUAGUUUGAGAAACUGAUAGUGUAAACAGGGUUAAAAUGAUUAAAAUGAAUAAUUGAUAAUUUGAAAUAGGAAAAAAGGUCCAAAGAUGAAGGAGUGAAGGGAGGGGAAGGGAAAAGGAAAAGAGAGAAAGGGAAAACUAUGAGAAAAGAAAAAAAAUGGAAAUGAAAUCUGUGUAAAUAGGGAAGGGUGGAGGGGUGAAGGGUGCACAGGUAAUGGGGGGGAAAAA
rnacentral:lncRNA from 1 species